GACACAGGGAGGUAGUGACAAGAAAUAACAAUACGGGGCUUAAUGUCUUGUAAUUGGAAUGAUGGGAAUUUAAACCUCUUCCAGAGUAUCAAUUGGAGGGCAAGUCUGGUGCCAGCAGCCGCGGUAAUUCCAGCUCCAAUAGCGUAUAUUAAAAUUGUUGCAGUUAAAAAGCUCGUAGUUGAAUUUCUGCUGCAUUGCUUUUGCUCCUUUACGAGUCUUUGCAUUGUGGCUUAUUUCGGACUUUGUUUUACAAUGUCCGGAUGUUUACUUUGAGAAAAUUAGAGUGCUCAAAGCAGGCUUUCGCCUUAAAUAGUUUAGCAUGGAAUAAUAAAGUAGGACUUUGGUUCUAUUUUGUUGGUUUUAGGUACCAAAGUAAUGGUUAAUAGGAACAGUUGGGGGCAUUCGUAUUUAACUGUCAGAGGUGAAAUUCUUAG
rnacentral:rRNA from 1 species